UAAUUCACAGCAGUCUCUGCUUACCUUAGGGCCUUCACAUGCUUCCCAGGCAUUUACUUCUUAUACUCUUUUUUUUCAUACACAAGACCAAACAAAUUCUUAGGCUUUAAAAUUACAGCACAUAUAUAGGAUACAAAACCAUGGUGGAAGUGUAGCUAACAUAAAACAUACCAGGAGGAAGGUGUGUUGGGGGAGGAGGGGUUGGAGGCGAAUUGAAGGGAGCUAAGCAGCUACCAGAUCUCUGGAAGAUAGAUGGGGUGACUCAAACGAUCUUGAACUCUAAGAAUGUUUGGGUCUGAGAGAGGUUUGAGAACCCAAUUCUUACUUGAUUCAGAAAAGGAUAAAAAGUAACCAGAGUAUAUCAAGCAAGGAAAGCAGUGUGAGUCUGUUUUCUAAUAUAUUUUAUCACAAUUUAAAAGAGAACCUUUGGGCUGGAGAGAUGGCUCAGCAGUUAAGAAUAUUUGAUGCUCCUCCAGAGAACCAAGUCUGGUUCCCAAUUCCCACAUCAGGUAGCUUACAUCCACCCUUAACUCCAGUUCCAAGAGCUCUGACAUCUCUGACCUUGGGCAUCUGCACUCAUGUGUAGACACACAGGUAAGGAAAAAAUAAUAAUUUUGAAGAUAACUGUACAAAUGAUGGUAGUACUUGUAAUAAAUGUACUAGAAAACAUGAAGUCCUUUAAAUUGCUUAAAUAUCAAAAUUUCCUAUACGAUGAGCUUACCAAAGUAAGAUUUUACUGUUUCAAAACAAGUUUCACAUACUUUUGUAACAAAUAUUCCUCUGUUACCUGUUAUUGUGACAAAACACUUGACAUAAAGAAGUAAGCCUGCAUUUUUACCCAAUAUCAGGCUUCUAUCUCAUCACUUGUUCCUGUUUCUGGGCUCUAAAAAGCCUUAGCUGCUAGCCAGGAAGCAAAGAAGGGACAAGAUAAGUCUUCCCAAGGAAUGCCUCCAAUUUCCUCUAACUAGGCCCCAGCAUCUCGCAAUAAUACAAUUAAAUAUCAGUGGAUGAAUUCACUGAUGAGAUUCGUAUCCUCGGGAGCCAGUUAUUUCCCCCUAAAAAAAUCUUAUCAGCUGACAACUGAACCUUUAACACAUUUAUAUAAUAAACCCACAAAGAAAUGAUACAUGAAAUGUGAUUACCCCUAAUUUAAAUGUAUACAUCUAUGGAAAUAGCAAUAGCAUAGAAAUACAUGUAAUUUGUAUGUCAAUUAUAGCUAAAACAAAAUAAAAAUCAGAUCUGCUGCUAUUUCUAUUGAAUAAAAUAGUGUGGGAGCAGACUGGGAUGAGUGAAACAGAUUGUGACAGUUAAGUAACUUCAAUGAAUGUCACUCCUCAGUUCAUUCUUAAUUUGUUCAUCUGUAUAAAUUUCUGACUUAAUUGUAGGUGUGCCUUUAAGUUCUAAAAUGAUCGUUCCCUCUGUUGGUAAAAAAAAGAUUACAUAUAUAGUACAUUUAUAUUUAUAGUACAGAUGUAUAUAUACACAUAUAUGUAUGCUUAUAGUACAUUUUAUAAAGAUAUAUUUAGUACAUUUUAUUUGGAGUUGGGAAAAUUGGGAUUUUGAAAUAGUUACAACUUUUUAAUAUCUCACAGCUUUUUAAAAUACCUUUAUUGGGCAGUAUCACUCAAAUUUGGUCAGAAUAAGGCUGUAGGCUUAUAAAGACUUAAGUGUCUUGGGAAUGAAAUGUGAAGAAUACUAGCUGUUAUUCCACUUUUACUUUUAAGCAGAAUCACACACUAAAGCUGAACCAUGGAAAACACCCUGGUAUGUUGGACACGUAAGCCAAAGGCUAUUGCAGGACCAACACCAGGAGUUACUGUGGCCAUAAAAGAGGUGUGCUGAGGUCCUAACAUCUAGUAAGGUGGUGUAACCACAUUCAGAAGCCAGGUCUUUGCAGAUGUCAAGAUGAUGUCACUGGUGGGCCUCAGUACAUCUUUACAAAAAAAGGACACUACUGUUUGCCGCUUCUAACCAUGGAUAAUUUCUGUUAAAAUCUAGACUUAGUGACAGAGAAAUAACCUGGUUUGGAUAUUUGAGAUGUGAAGUGUGAAUAUAUAUUUUAGUGUAUAUUGAAUGAAUAAAUAUGUCUCAUACAAUCAGAUUUGUAGCAGGUAAAUGUUACCUUUAUUACAUAAUAGGACUGUGUUUUCUCCUCUUCUCCCUCAGGAGGCAGCAUGACAACAGUAAGAAUUUCAUAUCUGUUCUUAAGCUUAUCAAUUUUACUUAGCCGCUCAUGAAAUUCAGAACUAAUGUGAAAAGAAAUUAAAAAUUAGUAGGUGUUUUUAUUGAAGACCUUUGGACUCAUAUUAUUAUUGUACUCAAACAGAUUAAAGUGCUCUCCUGUUUUAAUGAUCCUGUGUGUGGAUCUCAGAGUUUACCCUACUUGAACAAGCUAGCUUGUCAUAGUUCCAGAGAUUCUAACAGAAGACAUGAGAGACUAUUAUAACAGAGAUGAAGGAUGUUACCAUUCCUGACACAGGAGAAGAUACAAGCUUCCUGUCUACAUGGCUUGCUCCACGUCUCACGAGAGCAAGAAGGGGAUUAGGUAGAUACUUCACAAACAGUAGGUCUAUGUUACAAUUAAGAAACCCCAAAUAUUUUCAAGUGGUAAAUAAGCAGAUAUACCUAACUUUUGCUUUAGAGGGAACUAUGACCUCUGCCUUUCUAUUCAAACAGUACAAUGGGAGUUAGUACAUCUCUUUACAAGACAUUAAAAUAAAAUUCAUAGAGGAUUUACCAAC
rnacentral:lncRNA from 1 species